CAACCCAAAUGUGAACAUUACCAAUCCGUUGCUUCCGGCGGACUCCGUCCCGGCGUCCGGGUGGCCUUGCGCUGCCCGCGGCCCGGAUCCAGGCGGCCGCCGGAGGCCAUCAAACUCUUUGUAUUACCAGUAUCUUCUGAAUCCGCCGCAAGGCAAAACAAAUGAAUCAAAACUUUCAACAACGGAUCUCUUGGUUCUGGCAUCGAUGAAGAACGCAGCGAAAUGCGAUAAGUAAUGUGAAUUGCAGAAUUCAGUGAAUCAUCGAAUCUUUGAACGCACAUUGCGCCCGCCAGCAUUCUGGCGGGCAUGCCUGUUCGAGCGUCAUUUCAACCCUCGAGCUCCCUUUGGGGAGCCCGGCGUUGGGGACCGGCCUCUACCGCCGCCCCCGAAAUACAGUGGCGGCCCCGUCACGGCGACCUCUGCGUAGUAACUCAACCUCGCACCGGAAACCCGACGUGGCCACGCCGUAAAACACCCCACUUCUGAACGUUGACCUCGGAUCAGGUAGGAAUACCCGCUGAACUUAAGCAUAUCAUAAAGACGGGAAAGAAAAUUCAUUACGGAGUUUACAACUCCCAAACCAAAAUGUUGAACCUUACAAUCGUUGCUUCGGCGGACUCUUCCGGCUUCGGGUUGGCCUUGCGCUGCCGGGCCGGAACCAGGCGGCGCCGGAGGCCAUCAACUCUUUGUUAUUACAGUUAUCUUCUGAAAUCGCAGGGCAAAAAAAAUGAAUCAAAAUUUCACGCGNAUCUUGGUUCUGGCAUCAUGAAGAACGCAGCGAANUGCGAUAAGUAAUGUGAAAUUGCAGAAUUCAUUGAAAUCACGAAACCUUUGAACGCCAAUUGGUGCCCCCGCAUUUUGGGCGGGGAUGCGCGUGUUAGAGUGAUAUUUAUCCCCUACCCUCUCUUGUGAGAGACCGUCGGUGUGGUGAGNCGUG
rnacentral:rRNA from 1 species